GAUUUUCCAGGUAGGCCCAAUGUAAUCAUUAGGGUCUUUCUAAGAGAAGGAGGGAGAACAAGAGGAGAGUCAGAGAAAGAGUUGUAAAGAUGGAAGCAGAGUUAGUGCUCUGUUACUGGCUUUAAAGAUGAAGGCAAAUGAAGCAUGAGCCAAAGAACACAAGAAGUCUAGAAGUAGGAAAAAGCAGUGUAACAGAUCCUCUUCUUGAGUCUACAGAAAGAAGUGCACCCCUAUGGACAUUCGGAUUUCAGCUCCAUGAAGCCGUGUUACACUUCUGAACUACAGAACUGUAAGGCUCAAUGAGUAAUUGAAACAGAAAUCGAACCACACCCUGCCCUCAAAGAUCUUCCAAAGCAUGUGUCAUAUUAAAACUGCUUGGAAGAUCUUUUUUAUCAGAGGAAAAAGAGUCAAUUGAUGUAAAAAUAUAACAAACUCUGUUGGUCAAAAAAAUGAUGGCCAUUACACUUGAGCUCUGUCUCUCUGGCGUCGUACUCACCCAUUUUCUGUUUAAACAUCAUGUUUGAUUCUUCUAUCCAACAAAUGUAAUUAUAUCACAUAAAUCAAAAUCACAUUUAGUUGUUUCUCAAAAGAGAGAAGAGCCAAAGUUAAUAAACUGCUGGUGGUUGAAACUCCAAGAUCUCUAAACAAUGUUCAUUUCUUCUUAUUUUGAGUUGCUAUAAAUUAGUUUUGUACAUGCCUAAUUUGAGAUUAGAAUUGGGAUUACAAAUUUAGGAAUUACCAGAAUAUGCAAGAAUAAUUAAUCAAAGUAGAUAAUGCCACUUAGAUUGAAGUAUAGAGAGAAGUUUGAGGACUUAUUCUAGGAACACACCAAAUUUCAGCGGCCUAGGGGGAGACAAAGAGAAUUUCCAAUAGGGUAGUAGAAAAUCAAGAAACUGUAGUAUCAGGAAAAAUAAGUAAAUAUAUGUUUCAAGGUUGCAGUGAUCAACAAUUAUCAAAACUACUGAAAAGUGACCAUUCCUUUUAGCAACUUAGAGUCCAUUAUUGAUCUUGACAAGUACAUUCAGUAAAAUACUUGGUUAAAAAGUCAGUGUGUGAGGGGCACCUGUGUGGCUCAGUUGGUUGGGCGUCCAGUAUCGGCUCAGGUCAUGAUCUCAGGACUGGUGAGUUAGAGCACCAUGUCCGGCUCUGUCCUGACAGCUCAGAGCUUAGAGACUGCUUCAGAUUCUGUGUCUCCAUCUCUGCCCCUCCACUGCUAGUGCUCUGUCUCUCUCAAAAAUAAAAUAAACAUUAAAAGUUAAAAAAAAAAAAGUGUGUGAGAUAGGAUGGAAUGUGGUCAAGUGAGACUGAGCAUUUACAAUUCAAGUAAAGAUAACAGAGAUAAUAUUUGAAUAAAAAUGAGAUUAAAGUAAACACUUGAACACAGUAAAAUAACCCUCCCUUACCCUCCAUCGUUUAUAUAAGUUAUGUAGGAGCCAAGUUGGAGAGCAGUGAAAUGUGAUAAUUUGCACCACUGGUAUCUUUGCAGAAUUACUGGCUCCAUCACAUUGAUUUGCCUUUUUGGUAGUAAUGGAGAACUGGGAGUUUCCACUUAGCGAUUGAUUCCUACUUUAAAAUCUUAGCAUCGUUAGGUACGAAGGUAACCAUUGUAGGGAUUUUGCUACUUCCUAAGUCUAUCUACUCUGACUACGCACAUUGCAGAGGAGGUGUAUCCUGUGACUGGCUUCUACAGACUACCAAGCCUACUAUGAGAUGGACUUGGGUCAAAACUCUAACACUUUUAGAAAGUUACUUCUAUCUAGUAAAUCACAGAGGAAUUUCAAGUAUCCAGAAACUAACAUUGAUUUAAGAGUAUUUUUUCAUAAUCUCUGAAAAAUUAGGGUGUUUCCUUAAUGUUAAAACAUAAACACCUAGCUAAAUAGCCUCAGGAUAUUUGGCUGAAGCUUUGCAGUGACAUACAGCAUAUUGUUUUUACAUUACUAUUAUAGGGCCCUUCCUCAAGUGUUUCAGCUUUACCUGGGCUCUCUCUGGGACUGAGGAUUAACUCAGCAAAUAAUUCAAAUGGUGGGACAGGGUUAUCUAUUGUAUUGGCUCAAGUCAAACCUGUGUUUACAUUAUCUUGAGUGGUUUAUGGUUGUUAAUUUUGUUGUUUGUUGUUCACAAACUGGCUUCCAUCUAUUUUU